rnacentral:rRNA from 1 species
UACGUAGGCAGCAAGCGUUGUUCGGAAUUACUGGGCGUAAAGAGUGCGUAGGCGGUGCUCUAAGUCUGUCGUGAAAUCUCCCGGCUCAACUGGGAGGGUGCGCCGAAUACUGAAUGACUAGAGUACGGGAGAGGAAAGUGGAAUUCCUGGUGUAGCGGUGAAAUGCGUAGAUAUCAGGAGGAACACCGGUGGUGUAGACGGCUUUCUGGACCGACACUGACGCUGAGACACGAAAGCGUGGGUAGCAAACAGG